rnacentral:rRNA from 1 species
GGUGGGGUGACUGCGUACCUUUUGUAUAAUGGGUCAGCGACUUAUAUUCUGUAGCAAGGUUAACCGWAUAGGGGAGCCGGAGGGAAACCGAGUCUUAAYYGGGCGUUAAGUUGCAGGGUAUAGACCCGAAACCCGGUGAUCUAGCCAUGGGCAGGUUGAAGGUUGGGUAACACUAACUGGAGGACCGAACCGACUAAUGUUGAAAAAUUAGCGGAUGACCUGUGGCUGGGGGUGAAAGGCCAAUCAAACCGGGAGAUAGCUGGUUCUCCCCGAAAGCUAUUUAGGUAGCGCCUCGUGAAUUCAUCUCCGGGGGUAGAGCACUGUUUCGGCUAGGGGGCCAUCCCGGCUUACCAACCCGAUGCAAACUGCGAAUACCGGAGAAUGUUAUCACGGGAGACACACGGCGGGUGCUAACGUCCGUCGUGAAGAGGGAAACAACCCAGACCGCCAGCUAAGGUCCCAAAGUCAUGGUUAAGUGGGAAACGAUGUGGGAAGGCCCAGACAGCCAGGAUGUUGGCUUAGAAGCAUGCUGGAGGUAUCAGAAGUGCGAAUGCUGACAUAAGUAACGAUAAAGCGGGUGAAAAGCCCGCUCGCCGGAAGACCAAGGGUUCCUGUCCAACGUUAAUCGGGGCAGGGUGAGUCGACCCCUAAGGCGAGGCCGAAAGGCGUAGUCGAUGGGAAACGGGUUAAUAUUCCCGUACUUGGUGUUACUGCGAAGGGGGGACGGAGAAGGCUAUGUUGGCCGGGCGACGGUUGUCCCGGUUUAAGCGUGUAGGUGUGUGUUCCAGGUAAAUCCGGUUCACUUUAACACUGAGGCGUGACGACGAGGCACUACGGUGCUGAAGCAACAAAUGCCCUGCUUCCAGGAAAAGCCUCUAAGCAUCAGGUAACACGAAAUCGUACCCCAAACCGACACAGGUGGUCAGGUAGAGAAUACCAAGGCGCUUGAGAGAACUCGGGUGAAGGAACUAGGCAAAAUGGUGCCGUAACUUCGGGAGAAGGCACGCUGACACGUAGGUGAAGUGAUUUACUCAUGGAGCUGAAGUCAGUCGAAGAUACCAGCUGGCUGCAACUGUUUAUUAAAAACACAGCACUGUGCAAACACGAAAGUGGACGUAUACGGUGUGACGCCUGCCCGGUGCCGGAAGGUUAAUUGAUGGGGUCAGCGYAAGCGAAGCUCCUGAUCGAAGCCCCGGUAAACGGCGGCCGUAACUAUAACGGUCCUAAGGUAGCGAAAUUCCUUGUCGGGUAAGUUCCGACCUGCACGAAUGGCGUAAUGAUGGCCAGGCUGUCUCCACCCGAGACUCAGUGAAAUUGAACUCGCUGUGAAGAUGCAGUGUACCCGCGGCAAGACGGAAAGACCCCGUGAACCUUUACUAUAGCUUGACACUGAACAUUGAGCCUUGAUGUGUAGGAUAGGUGGGAGGCUUUGAAGUGUGGACGCCAGUCUGCAUGGAGCCGACCUUGAAAUACCACCCUUUAAUGUUUGAUGUUCUAACGUGGACCCGUAAUCCGGGUUGCGGACAGUGUCUGGUGGGUAGUUUGACUGGGGCGGUCUCCUCCUAAAGAGUAACGGAGGAGCACGAAGGUUGGCUAAUCCUGGUCGGACAUCAGGAGGUUAGUGCAAUGGCAUAAGCCAGCUUGACUGCGAGCGUGACGGCGCGAGCAGGUGCGAAAGCAGGUCAUAGUGAUCCGGUGGUUCUGAAUGGAAGGGCCAUCGCUCAACGGAUAAAAGGUACUCCGGGGAUAACAGGCUGAUACCGCCCAAGAGUUCAUAUCGACGGCGGUGUUUGGCACCUCGAUGUCGGCUCAUCACAUCCUGGGGCUGAAGUAGGUCCCAAGGGUAUGGCUGUUCGCCAUUUAAAGUGGUACGCGAGCUGGGUUUAGAACGUCGUGAGACAGUUCGGUCCCUAUCUGCCGUGGGCGCUGGAGAACUGAGGGGGGCUGCUCCUAGUACGAGAGGACUCCUAGUACGAGAGGACCGGAGUGGACGCAUCACUGGUGUUCGGGUUGUCAUGCCAAUGGCACUGCCCGGUAGCUAAAUGCGGAAGAGAUAAGUGCUGAAAGCAUCUAAGCACGAAACUUGCCCCGAGAUGAGUUCUCCCUGAGACUUWRRGUCUCCUGAAGGAACGUUGAAGACGACGACGUUGAUAGGCCGGGUGUGUAAGCGCAGCGAUGCGUUGAGCUAACCGGUACUAAUGAACCGUGAGGCUUAACCUUACAACGCCGAAG